AGUAACGGAGGCGCGCGAUGGUGGGCUCAGAGCGGUCGGAAAUCGCUCGUUGAGUGCAAUGGCAGAAGCCAGCCUGACUGCGAGACUGACAAGUCGAGCAGAGUCGAAAGACGGCCAUAGUGAUCCGGUGGUCCCAAGUGGGAGGGCCAUCGCUCAACGGAUAAAAGGUACUCCGGGGAUAACAGGCUGAUGAUGCCCAAGAGUCCAUAUCGACGGCACCGUUUGGCACCUCGAUGUCGGCUC
rnacentral:rRNA from 1 species